rnacentral:rRNA from 1 species
CGUAGGGGCAAGCGUUAUCCGGAUUUACUGGGUGUAAAGGGAGCGUAGACGGUGAUGUAAGUCAGAUGUGAAAGCCCGGGGCUCAACCCCGGGACUGCAUUUGAAACUAUGUCACUAGAGUGCAGGAGAGGUAAGUGGAAUUCCUAGUGUAGCGGUGAAAUGCGUAGAUAUUAGGAGGAACACCAGUGGCGAAGGCGGCUUACUGGACUGUAACUGACGUUGAGGCUCGAAAGCGUGGGGAGCAAACAGGAUU